rnacentral:rRNA from 1 species
AUUGAACGCUGGCGGCAUGCCUUACACAUGCAAGUCGAACGGCAGCACGGGAGCAAUCCUGGUGGCGAGUGGCGAACGGGUGAGUAAUAUAUCGGAACGUGCCCAGUCGUGGGGGAUAACGCAGCGAAAGCUGUGCUAAUACCGCAUACGAUCUACGGAUGAAAGCGGGGGAUCGCAAGACCUCGCGCGAUUGGAGCGGCCGAUAUCAGAUUAGCUAGUUGGUGGGGUAAAGGCCCACCAAGGCGACGAUCUGUAGCUGGUCUGAGAGGACGACCAGCCACACUGGAACUGAGACACGGUCCAGACUCCUACGGGAGGCAGCAGUGGGGAAUUUUGGACAAUGGGCGCAAGCCUGAUCCAGCAAUGCCGCGUGCAGGAUGAAGGCCUUCGGGUUGUAAACUGCUUUUGUACGGAACGAAACGGCCCUUUCUAAUACAGGGGGCUAAUGACGGUACCGUAAGAAUAAGCACCGGCUAACUACGUGCCAGCAGCCGCAGUAA